GACGAACGCUGGCGGCGUGCUUAACACAUGCAAGUCGAACGGAAAGGCCCUGCUUUUGUGGGGUGCUCGAGUGGCGAACGGGUGAGUAACACGUGAGUAACCUGCCCUUGACUUUGGGAUAACUUCAGGAAACUGGGGCUAAUACCGGAUAGGAGCUCCUGCUGCAUGGUGGGGGUUGGAAAGUUUCGGCGGUUGGGGAUGGACUCGCGGCUUAUCAGCUUGUUGGUGGGGUAGUGGCUUACCAAGGCUUUGACGGGUAGCCGGCCUGAGAGGGUGACCGGCCACAUUGGGACUGAGAUACGGCCCAGGCUCCUACGGGAGGCAGCAGUGGGGAAUAUUGCACAAUGGGCGGAAGCCUGAUGCAGCAACGCCGCGUGCGGGAUGACGGCCUUCGGGUUGUAAACCGCUUUCGCCUGUGACGAAGCGUGAGUGACGGUAAUGGGUAAAGAAGCACCGGCUAACUACGUGCCAGCAGCCGCGGUGAUACGUAGGGUGCGAGCGUUGUCCGGAUUUAUUGGGCGUAAAGGGCUUGUAGGUGGUUGAUCGCGUCGGAAGUGUAAUCUUGGGGCUUAACCCUGAGCGUGCUUUCGAUACGGGUUGACUUGAGGAAGGUAGGGGAGAAUGGAAUUCCUGGUGGAGCGGUGGAAUGCGCAGAUAUCAGGAGGAACACCAGUGGCGAAGGCGGUUCUCUGGGCCUUUCCUGACGCUGAGGAGCGAAAGCGUGGGGAGCGAACAGGCUUAGAUACCCUGGUAGUCCACGCUGUAAACGGUGGGUACUAGGUGUGGGGUCCAUUCCACGGGUUCCGUGCCGUAGCUAACGCUUUAAGUACCCCGCCUGGGGAGUACGGCCGCAAGGCUAAAACUCAAAGGAAUUGACGGGGCCCCGCACAAGCGGCGGAGCAUGCGGAUUAAUUCGAUGCAACGCGUAGAACCUUACCUGGGUUUGACAUGGAUCGGGAGCGCUCAGAGAUGGGUGUGCCUCUUUUGGGGUCGGUUCACAGGUGGUGCAUGGCUGUCGUCAGCUCGUGUCGUGAGAUGUUGGGUUAAGUCCCGCAACGAGCGCAACCCUUGUUCACUGUUGCCAGCACGUUAUGGUGGGGACUCAGUGGAGACCGCCGGGGUCAACUCGGAGGAAGGUGGGGAUGACGUCAAGUCAUCAUGCCCCUUAUGUCCAGGGCUUCACGCAUGCUACAAUGGCUGGUACAGAGAGUGGCGAGCCUGUGAGGGUGAGCGAAUCUCGGAAAGCCGGUCUCAGUUCGGAUUGGGGUCUGCAACUCGACCUCAUGAAGUCGGAGUCGCUAGUAAUCGCAGAUCAGCAACGCUGCGGUGAAUACGUUCCCGGGGCU
rnacentral:rRNA from 1 species